CGCGUGGGAAUCUGCCCAGUAGUGGGGGACAACCCGAGGAAACUCGGGCUAAUACCGCAUACGCCCUACGGGGGAAAGCAGGGGAUCUUCGGACCUUGCACUAUUGGAUGAGCCCGCGUCGGAUUAGCUUGUUGGUGAGGUAACGGCUCACCAAGGCGACGAUCCGUAGCUGGUCUGAGAGGACGAUCAGCCACACUGGGACUGAGACACGGCCCAGACUCCUACGGGAGGCAGCAGUGGGGAAUAUUGGACAAUGGGCGCAAGCCUGAUCCAGCAAUGCCGCGUGUGUGAAGAAGGCCC
rnacentral:rRNA from 1 species